GUGCCAGCAGCCGCGGUAAGACGAACCGUCCAAACGUUAUUCGGAAUUACUGGGCUUAAAGGGUGCGUAGGCGGCGCGGUAAGUUGGGUGUGAAAUCCCUCGGCUCAACCGAGGAAUAGCGCUCGAUACUGCCGUGCUUGAGGGAGACAGAGGUGAGUGGAACUUAGGGUGGAGCGGUGAAAUGCGUUGAUAUCCUAAGGAACACCAGUGGCGAAAGCGACUCACUGGGUCUCUACUGACGCUGAGGCACGAAAGCUAGGGGAGCGAACGGGAUUAGAUACCCCGGUAGUCC
rnacentral:rRNA from 1 species